rnacentral:rRNA from 1 species
UGGGGAAUAUUGGACAAUGGGCGCAAGCCUGAUCCAGCAAUGCCGCGUGUGUGAAGAAGGCCUUCGGGUUGUAAAGCACUUUUAUCAGGAACGAAAAGCGUGGGGUUAAUACCUUUACGUGCUGACGGUACCUGAGGAAUAAGCACCGGCUAACUUCGUGCCAGCAGCCGCGGUAAUACGAAGGGUGCAAGCGUUAAUCGGAAUUACUGGGCGUAAAGCGUGCGUAGAUGGUUUGUUAAGUCGGAUGUGAAAGCCCCGGGCUCAACCUGGGAACUGCAUCCGAUACUGGCAGACUAGAGUGUGGUAGAGGAUGGCGGAAUUCCCGGUGUAGCGGUGAAAUGCGUAGAGAUCGGGAGGAACAUCCGUGGCGAAGGCGGCCACCUGGGCCUGUACUGACGCUCAUGCACGAAAGCGUGGGGAGCAAACAGGAUUAGAUACCCCAGUAGUCCCUGAGCGGGCUGGCAAGGCGCAU